rnacentral:rRNA from 1 species
GAGAUGUGGGUAGUCCGCACGAGCGCACCUCACUUUCAGUUGCCAUCAUUAAGUUGGGCACUCUGAAAGAACUGCCAGUGAUAAGCUGGAGGAAGGUGGGGAUGACGUCAAGUCCUCAUGGUCCUUACGUGUUGGGCUACACACGUGCUACAAUGGCAUCUACAACAGGAAGCAAAACGGCAACGUUAAGCAAAUCCCGAAAAGAUGCCUCAGUUCGGAUUGCACUCUGCAACUCGAGUGCAUGAAGCUGGAAUUACUAGUAAUCGUGGAUCAGCGUGCCACGGUGAAUGCGUUCCCGGGUCUUGUACACACCGCCCGUCACACCAUGGGAGUUGGUUCUACCUUAAGGCAAGGUUUUAAACCCUUGAACCACGGUAUAGUCAGCGACUGGGGUGAAGUCGUAACAAGGUAGCCGUAGGGGAACCUGCGGCUGGAUUACCUCCUUUCU